GGAUACAUACAAUACUAUAUCAUAUGUUAACAAACCCUAAACCAAUGACUCAUGAGCCAAUAUACACGUGGCAGGAGCAGAGUCAGUCAAAUCGUCUGCAGGUACAUAAACUGCUUGAAUAGAGGUUAUUUACAAAUUUAUUUUCCAAAAAUUUUUAAUUUCAUUCACUCAUCUAUGUUGAAAAUAAUUCAAUUUCAGUUGAACUAAAUUUAAAUCAUCGAAAAAUAUUUAUUAUUACAUGAUUUCAAUUUUUUACCCAUCAAAAUAUUUUUAUAAAAUUAUAAAAUUAUUUUUAAGAUCUACUGAACUAGAAGCCUUACAAAGAAGUCAUCCUAGAGAAGAUAUUGUUAAUAUCUAUCUAUCUAUCUAUCUAUCUAUCUAUCUAUCUAUCUAUCUAUCUAUCUAUCUAUCUAUCUAUCUAUCUAUCUAUCUAUCUAUCUAUCUAUCUAUCUAUCUAUCUAUCUAUCUAUCUAUCUAUCUAUCUAUCUAUCUAUCUAUCUAUAUAUUACUAUAAAGUAGUGUUUGCUUCACUCUAAUGAAACCUCAUCAGAUUCCAGCUAGAUAAGUCAAGUCUUCUGGUCGUGACACGUGUCCCGCUUUUCCCGAAACACAUCACUUCAUUUAUUCAGAAUUCGGAUGGGCUUAGCAAUCGAGUGGGCUUUUGUUAUAAAGCGUAUAUCUUCAGGGUUUUGGGCUAAUAAUUUUGUAUGUGGUAGGCAGCCCCAUGGCCUGUUAUCGGGAACCCUAAUGCAAAAACAUCAGUCUUCAUCUUCAACCAUUUCUAGGGUUCUUAACGUUUUGCAACUUCUGAUUUUUAAAACCGACCAUGGCGUUUCGACUGGGUUACGGGAACCUAUUAAUCACGCCAGUAUCUGGUCUAAUCCUUCGUUCAUAUCGAUUCCGCUGGAGUUCUUAGCACCGGCAAUGGGAAACCUGAACCGUUACGGACUGUUCAAUCGUCAUCAUUAGCGACCUUCUUAUUCCUUCUCUCUCCCCCCCCCCACCCACUCCUUCUACAAUUUCUCAUUCACUGCAUCAUCUCUGCUCCCGGUGAAUAUGCAUCCGGAAGAACACACUAAAAUAAGAGGUAAACAUUGAUUGGUAGCAUACUCGAUCAAACGAGUUAUCUUUUCGGCUACUACGAUAGAGAUAAGUUUUGAUACCGUAAACUUGAUCCUUUCAUCCUUCCCAAUCAUAAUAACUCUUACAACUUUCUUUGAGCAUAAUGGCGAACUCCUCUCUCCUCCUUUCUGACUUGAAGGUCGGGCAUUCAAGCAGCUUUUUGAUUACCAUGGUGUUCAGCCAUUGAAUUUUGUUUUCAUUAAUGGAUCUGAACUGCGGCAGUAGAAUCUUCUUUUGGCUGUGUAAAAAUCACACCUCCAAGCUAAGGAAGACAAAUGACUGAAAACAGCAGGACGAGAAUGCAAUUGAAAAUGAGGCGCCUCCUCCUCCACUCCCAAAACCUUUUUGCAAAACCUUGACCUUUCGGACACAAGUACACAUGAUCUCCGGUCAAUCACCUAUCAAGGGUUGGUUGCAAAGGUUUUGCUUGCCAAUGAGUGACGUUCCAUACAUAUUUCAAUGGUGAGCCACGAAGCUGUUUGCUUCAUAGUGGAUGGAGCAUGUUUGUUUCGUUGAUGUGAAGUAUCUAAUUCUUCUACAGAGGCGAGAAUGUGGAAUUACGUGAGAGGUGUAAGGCCACAUAGAGUCUUUGAUGAAUAAUACUCCAUAAACAUGAGAUUUAAAUGAGAGGUAAUGCGGUUUUGAAUUACUAAAUCCACCUAAGAGGACAAAUUACGUUGGUAUUGUUGAGCUUGAAGGUGAUGGUCUCAAUUGGUAUAAGGUGGAAUUGGCCAACCGUGAAUUAUAAUUUUAGGAAUUAAGGGCAGAUUCCUUGCUUGGUAUGCACCAGGUCAAGAGUCAGUUGUUUCAGAAGAGAUCGUGAAGAAUGCACCAGUUCCUGCGAUUUUUUAUGAGAACUCUGUUGACCGUGUUGUGUUGAUUGUGGAGGUUAAAUAAGAGGCACUUCCUCAGAUUCUUUUUUCUUCAUCAGAAGCCUUGAUAAGAAGGAACCCGUUCCUGAGAUGAUUCCAAUGGCAGCUUAGUGAUGCCCUUUACCAGAAGCAUUAGAAACAGUUGAAUCACUUGAAAAGUAUUAAAGAGGACGAAUUAAGUAAGAGGGAAGACUCAAUGCAGAAAAAUGUAUCAACAGAUCAGUUGCAGUCACCAAUUUAUAUUAAAGUGAACAGGGGAGGAGCUUGAUAUUUUUGUAAACCAUGGAGGCUCUAUCAUGGAGAAUCAGGAUGGUCUCUCAAGUGGCAUAUGGAGUUAGCUACACAGUGUCUUUAUAAUUAAUCCAACUCUCAGAACAGAUUUUUUUUAUCAAUCUCAAAUUUUUUGUUAUGCAGUUUUCUCUGUUUUUCAAUAAAUGUUAAGAGCUCUGCAAAUCUUUCAAGAA